CAACAUUCCAACAGUAAAUAAAGUUUUGAGAAACAAGCACAUCUCGACUUUUCAACUGAAUGUUCCCCUUAUAAAACCAACCAGUGCCAAUGAUCUUAUACCAUGAGUACUGAUAAUCCUAAAUUUCUCCUAAUAAUGAACAAA